rnacentral:lncRNA from 1 species
GCAGGUAUAUUUACAUAUAAAUAUUUAUACAUACCUGCGUAUGUAUACAUAUAUACACACACGUGCAUAUACCCACAUACAUAUAUACAUAUGAUUAAUAUAUAUAUAUAUAUACAUGAUUAAUAUAUAUAUAUAGAGUCCGGCUACUAUACUCUUAUGAGUACGAUCGCCCUCGUACUCACAAGUUGUUUUCGAUGAUAGAGCUUCCAAAUCGACGAUCCACACCGUUAAAUGUUAUCUAGAGCAUUUAAAACUUUUAGAAAUCAAAUUUUAUAAUUUUUCGAUAUCAUUUACCUUACGAUCAAAAGCACACAAAAUUGACAAUUUUUAACGGCCGGUAUGGGAUAUUUGCUAGUUUAACGGUGUAAAAGAAUCGGAAUAGGUUGAAUUUUUGAUAGAAAAUUCUAUUCACUACCUAAAUAAAGAUCAAUAACUCCGAUCUUAAAUUGAAGGAUCCGAUCAUCUAUUUUUAGAAUGUAGUUCAAUUUUAACCGUUCAUUUUAUACCUGCUUGAUGGACUUUAUAAUGAUUUUGAAAAAUUACGAAAUUUAUUUUCCAGAAGUUUCAAAUACUCUAAAUCAUGUUUAACGGUGUGGAUCGUCGAUUCGAAAACCCCAACAUCGAAAACAACUUAUGAGUACGAAGGGCUCUAUAAUCAUAAGAGUAUAGUAGCCCUACUCUAUAUAUAUAUAACUAUAUAUUGAUCCCCAAAAAAAAUGCCACACGGCAAUAUUUCUUUCAUUGUUAAGCAUGGGCUCCUCCAACAAAUAAUUUCAGCCUUGAACCAAACCAGCCCACCUGUUCCGCUCUUUCUUUCCUUGAAUCCAGGCGGCCCACCUGUUCUUUUCUUUCUUUAUUUGAACCGAACUGGUCCACCUAUUCCUCACUCUCCUUGUCACGCCCCGAGACCGCUACCAAUUUGGUCUGGUUCGGGCGAGUCGAACAGAUGCCGAACGGACAGCACCUCCCCUGUCCGCCCCAGGCUAAACCACCCGAUCAUGUACAAGAACUUACCCAGGAGAAGAAAUUCAAUACAUACAUGAUCAACUAAAAGCACACAAGUGCUAUACAACUAAGAGCAAGAGCCACAAGUAUAUGUACAAGUGUAUAAAGAGAGAUACAUCUAGCUAUUACAACCAUUUAACAAUUUACAUAUUCAAAUUACAUUACAUUUCCAUAUCCCAAAAUGUAAUACAAUUUAUCUUCAGAAUACAUAGGUAGCUCUCCAACAACUAUCAAAAUAUACAUUCAAUGUCUCUGGUACACGAGGGUACUCUAAUGCAUAUAGGAAAGCUACUAACUACCUAGGGAGCUAUGCCCUUGCCGCGGUUCUCGCCCGGUACUCGGCCCUGCAACAAAGUGGGGUGAGAACUAUAUAAAUAUAGUUCCCAGUGGGUUCGGCCGCCGACUCCGCCGAUCUUCCCACUAGGUCUAAGCAGGCAUAAGCAGAUAGAUAGAUAGGUAGAAAUAUAAACUGCAACUAUUCUACCAUGCCUUCAAUGCAAUGCCAUGUAUGAAAUAUUCAUCAUGCAAUGGUAUACUAUCACGCUAGUAGGAUGUCAAGAGUAUGUAUAUGCAACAUAGCAAUGCAAUUUACAACAUACACUAUGUCUACUCAAGGUAAGGAUGCAAUUCUACUAUGCCAUUCAUGUUCAUUACCCAAUUUACCUGGCUAACUCGUAGGUUAAGCCUCGACUCACUCUCAAUCUCAUAGGUGAGGAGAAGCUGCACUCGCACAACUACGUCUGCGGGACAACUACGUCUGCCCCUAUGUGAAGUACUCCGGAGACCACUGCUUUGGUGGAGCGCCCACCGACAGCGAAACAGACUAGUGAGUAUGAUCCAAUCCUCACAAGAGGAUACCCUAUCUACUAGAGUCAUAGUGCCUCUACUGCACAAUCACGAUGCAUAAUCAAUGCCGGGACCUCUACUAUCCCUAAGUUCAUGUCAAGUUUACUACACUAAACUCGAUGCCACUCGUUCGAUCAUUUGUAGUAGGUUUUCUAACUAGUUGACAUGCCACUCAUUCAUAUUUAGUGUUUCUUCUACACUAGUUCCAUGCCACUCUUCUAGGCUAUCAUAUGUCCAAGUUCGGCUCUUUAUGCCACUAUAGGAUUCCAUGUCACAAGACCCAAUCCUCAUGCUACCCUAAUCCAUGUGUCCAACUUACAAGUUACACUACUAAGAAAGCAUGCAAGGAAUUAGAAUUGCAACUAUCUACUAAUCCUGUAAUGCACAAUAUUCAUAUAUGACCUAUAUAAAGAACUUAGACAUAAAAAGAAGCUCGGUUGCUUCGGGAUGGACACCCCCUACCUUUCUCGAUGUAGAGGUUCUAGAAAUGCUUCUCGCCGAACGUUACGACGAGGUCUCGGCCUCCUUGGUCCAAAACGAUGCUCAAUCAGCUAUAUUUUGCCGAUAGCUUUUCACCCGCUCGACGAAUCGUAAAUCCGACUUCGCCCCCGCGUUUAGACACCUAGCAAUUAGGUUUAGAUGCCCUCAAAUGAGAUCAAUCUCAUACUUUGUCAAAAACCCUUAUUUGGGUACCCUAGGAUUCACAUCUUGCCAUUUGCACUAAGGAACCCUAGCCUCUAGCUCUAAUCCACCAUUAAUGGUGCUAGAGGUCCAUUUGACCUCCUCUUAAAAACCAAAAACCCAAAAACCCUAGAUUUACAUGUUAGGGUUUAGUAGCUUACCUCUUGAGCUACACCAAAGAGAUGAAGAGGGAGAGAAGAAGGUGAUGGAGACGAUCUCCUCCAAGCUCUCCUUCUUCUUCUUCUUCUCCUCCUUGCUUUCUUCUCUUCCUUCCUCUCUUUUCUUUCUAGAGAGAGAGAGAGAGAGAAUAUGAGUGAGUGAGGGAAAUGAGAGAGGGAGAGAGAGCUCAGCCCCUCUAUACCCUUUAACUAAUGCUACAAUUGCAUUAAAACCCCUCCACUUUACUUCUCUCAAACUGCUCUGCCUGGGCAGUUUUCGCGCAGAGGGACCGGUCUCUCCCUGCGUGGGACCGGUCCCUCGGGGACCUUCCUAAGUUUACGCAUUCGGGAACCGGUCCCUCCCGCCCAGGGGACCGGUUGCCUCCCGCGCUACGGCAACCCUCAGUUCGUGGACCGGUCUCUCCCUGCCAGGGACUGGUCCCGAGAGCAAAAUCUGUCAGGUGCAGAUUUUCACGUUUCUUGCUCUCGUGGACUCAACUCCAAAGCACUUUUUGUGUUUUGGACACCUUUAGCUUUUUCGAAGGAUACCCUCUCGACAAAUAGUAGAUUCUGGUCGGAGUACAACUCUCGGAUUUCGAGAAUUCACUUCCUUACACUCCUUGAACCGAACCGGCCCACCUGUCCCUCUAUUUCUUUCUUUGAAGCAAGCAGGACCACCUGCCAAUAUGCUUUGUGCUAAACCAAAUUCUAUCCUUUCUUGGACCGAUUCCUUAAUCCUCUUCUUCUUCCUUGGACCAUUUCUUUUCUUCGUCAAAUCGAAGCGUCCCUCCCAACGAAAAAUAGUGCACGAUGCAUUGUCGUUCUCCCUUCCCUAACCGCCACUUCUUCCAUGGACCACCUGCCAGUGUUUAUUACUGUCCUUCAGUGGAUUCUAUGUCCGUGGUUCCCACACCCCUCGAAUGCAUGGAUGCACUUCGGUUCCUGUACAAUCUAUGCCCUCGCCCAAUUCAUCUCUUCCGACUCCGUUGCUCUCCCCGAUACGUCGUGGAUUCCACGCCCAUUUAAUGUUGGGACCCACCUUCCAUCGAUGCCAUUUCUAGGGGUCCAACAUUCCAUGGAUUCCUUAGCAGUAGUUUUCGACCCUAUCUCGCCCCCGAUUCACCUCCCCAACCCCUAAGCGAUUUUCAACCCUCUCUGCCCAUCCACAGCAUUUCAUCACUACAGUUUUAAGUUCCCUUCUCUUGUCACACCCCGGGCCACAGCGGAAACCUACCAGGUGCGUGCAUAGACCCACCGCGCAUAUCAAACAUCCCUGAUGUACACAAGGCGUCUACGAUAAUCAGAGAGAGAAGUAUGAUCCAUCCUAAACAUGGCACUCAGAGCGAGAACAUAAAACAACUAGAUACAUAAAUACAAAGCAAAUACCUCAAAGAGUACAACAAUCUAAUCAUUAAGUACAUCAUGAAUACAAGGAUAUCUCAAAUAAUGUACAACUAUACACCCUUGAACUAAACCAAAGAAAGAAUUCUAUGGGUCCAUCUAUCACAACAUCGAAAGGCUCUAGCUAGUCGCUGUCCCCUUGCCACGAUCCCUAGCCUUUCCCGCUGUGGAAGGCUCUAAAAUAAAACAAUCAAACAAAUAGGUGUGAGAACUAUUAAACAAUAGUUCCCAGUGGGUAAGCCGCCGAGAGUGGCGAAAUGCACCACUAGGUCAAUUGAGGCAUGGAUCAAGUACGUACAUAAAGUAGUAUAAGAAAAUGCAACAUUUAAUUGAAUCGCUUUACUAUAACAUGCCUCUAUAUGAUAUGUCAUUAAUAUGUAUAUGCUUACUUUUGCCUACAAUCACAUGCAUAAGUAAUUGUGUAUGCAACAUUGAAAUGCUAGUCCACAUUUAAACUGUAACCAAUUGUUCUAGAACAAGUCUUUCAUUUUACUAUAUAGCAUUUGUUUUCAUAAGGCCACAUUUUUAUACUAAUCAAUAUGUGUGUGAAUUUGCUACCCCUAGGGUUGUCAAUGCAAACAAUGGCAAUCCUAUAUAUCCAACUACUAUGAAUGCAUCAAGUAGUAUCACAAAGUAGAUACCUACUAGUAUGUCCAUCUAAAUGUCAAAUUUAAUUAACUUUUACCCAAUUAACGAGAAACUUACAGGUGGUAAAGUCCCGGCUUGUACUAUGCCUAAUGGCCCCGUGGUAGUCCACAUUCCCCCGCUAGGAAUUAGCCUCACCCACGGCUAUCUACUUCGGCGCCCAAUCCCGCACGAGCGAGCAUGUUGUCGCAAAGGCUAACUCCGAAGUGCCGGCUUGUAGGGAACAACCCUCACAAGCUUGUGCAAAUAAGCAUAAUGGCAAGCAAGCGUGAUCAUAUGCGCCAUGUCCAAGGCAAUCGGCCUCAAUCAUCAUGUCUAAAAUAUGGAAUCUCAAACAUCGACUCAAGGUCGGAUACUAUAACAUAAAUAUCAUGUUCCAUUUUUAAUUAACUUAAUGGUAUAUCUCUACCAAUAUGCCACAUGUCAUUCAAGACUCUAAAGGGAUUACAUGUACCAUUUCCACUAGCACGAAAAGAACAACUCACACUUGUCAUGUUCAAUGAACUAUACAGGUAUCACAAAAUUGUGCUCAUAUCAUGUAUACGACUUACCACAUAACCUCCACUAUGUGGAGUAUAAAAGUUAUCACGCAAGCAACUACUUUCCAAUAGAUUAAAUUAAGCAAUCAAAGCCAUUUAUAUAGUUAAAAGUGUUGGGAGACUUUUUCUUCAUGUCUAUAACAUGGAAUUUUCAUUUAUCAAUCUAGGAUCAAGUGCAACCUCCCAAAUUCACUUUAGUUGUUCAACUAAAUAGAAUACAACAUACCUAAGUCCACAUCAUGUCAUUAGCAUGCCAUAUGUCAUGUUGACCAUCUUCUAUAGCAAGUAUGUUAAUUGCCUUAUGAGUUUGAAUCCAACACAUACACUAACCAUAUAGUGUCUCAUAAGAUACUAUUCUCAUCUCUAAUAUGCAUCCUACAUUUGCAUAAGAGGGACUUGUCAUCGUACUAUGAUUACGUAUGUAUAAUCCACAUAAUUUCAUCCAAUGUUCUCUACUACAUAGAAGAUAUUAAUUUACCUCUACUAGAUAGAGUAUGUCAAAAAUCUCCUUUGCUACAAAGAAUAUGCAUCGUUUUAUAAAUAACAUGCAUAUGUCAUGCAUCCAAAAAUUCUACAACAUCAUGAAUGUUAUGAAUAUGCAUCCAUCAAAUCCUAUAACAAGAUAGGAGACAUAGAAGGAGUUCACCCAUUUCAGUGAGGUCAAACCCACCGGAUGGCUUCCGAAGCUCCAAUCGUUUCUCCGACAAAGUUGCCCGCUAGAAUUCUAGCACCCUACGAAAAAUUCCAAAGGGGUUACAAGCUUCUAAAAAGCUACCACAAAAUUCACCAAAAAUCAAAGGAAAAAUAAGUAGAAAUUACCUUUGAUCAAGUAGGAAUUGUCCAAAGUCCAAUUCAACCCACUGGAGCUUCGAAUCCAACCUAUAGGAGUGUUUACCACUCAUCAAAUCCAUCUAAAAAGCUUCCAAAAGAAAAACCCCAAAGCAAACCCUAGUUUCCCAAGAACUAGGUUUUCUCCCAAAUCUCAUGCAAAAUCAUGGUUAGAGGUUGAAGGAAGAUCACUAACCUCAAAACAAUCUUCAAUUCAAGUCAUGAAGUGCUAGGGUUGAAGAUUGUUCCACAAACUAGCCCUUCUCAUCAACUCCAAGCUCCCUCCAAGGUUCCAAAGCUUGCACUCAAAGAAGAAAGGGAGAGAAAAUAGAUCAAAUCCACGGAUUAAAGGGCGUUGGGGGAAAUUCUAGAGAAAGAGAGAGCAAGACUCACCUAUUCCCAUCUCCAUCCUCAACCGACUGAGGAUAAAUGAGGGUGAAAGGGUAUAUAAACAUAGUGUAACAAUAUCCCCAAAAGCCCUCCAACAAUCAGAAAAUACAACCUGCAUGAAACAGGUUUUAAGACAUUGAGUACCGGUACACGACAUUGAGUACCAGUACUCGGCAGUUAGUACCGGUACCCGAAGGUCGAUUCUGCAGAACCUGAACGUUGGAAGUUCAGGUUUAUAACUGCGUACCGGUACCCGCCCAAUGCAGUACUGGUACUCAGCCCAGUACCGGUACCCACCACUUGGUUCCGCAGAACCUGAGAGCUACCCAAAACCAAAUCGCAGCUAAGUUCCGGUACUCAAGUCCAGUACCGGUACUCAAUGCAAAUACUGCAUUUUUGUAAAAUUUGAUCUCCGUAGUUCGUUUCCGAGCUUAAUAAGCCUCGAAAAUACCCCUAAGCUCAACAACUCAAUCCAAUCCUUCGGAAUAGUAAAAAGCACUAUUCAUCCACUAGAACCCCGCAAUUUGUAGAAGUUCAGUGUGCUACAUCUCUCUUUCCCCCUCUCCCUCUCUCUUCUUAUACUCUUCCCUGACCCACUCUGCCCUAUUUCAUCUUUGCUUUUUGCGAUUACAAAUGCUUUUUUUAUUCUAUUGGUCUAAGAAAAUAUUAAGAUAAAAAAAAGUGCCACGAUAAACAAGUUGACCAUUUAUGUCAACGUGAAUAGAUAAUUCGUUGCAUUACAAAGACUACGGAUGUCAGUAGAAAUUGAUCCGCAAAAGAAAUAUCUGUAACAAACAAAGACAUUUUUUCCAAAGAAUAAAGAAUACCUACAAAGAAAUUAAGCAACAAACUACAGGUUGAUAUAAUGACCUUGACCAAUUCAUUAGCUACCAGUGAUUUCAAAUCACCUACAGAAGGUUGUAAUUCUUGGUUUUAGUGAUACUAAAAAUAUCAACUCCGGACAAGAUUUACCUUAUCUGGAAGAGGACUCUGAAUGAUAAGCAGUACAACCCCAAAAAAUAAGUUGACAGAUCACUACUUAUAAAUGCAUUUAUGUACAUUUGGUUGACAAUAAUUUGAAUAUUUCACCAUUUAUAGCUUAUAUUUUUAUUCAAUAGGUCAAUACAUCCUACAUUCCUACUACAGAUCUUGCUGAUUUAAAACUCAAUAUUAAUUCCGAGAUGUGAUAGCCUAACAUCAGUUCAGUUAAACGACAAGACAAUGCUUAAAAAAUGAUGAUUUAAAUGCGCAAAUAUUGCUUACUGAAUAAAUUGUUCCAGUUGUAUAAGAAUGUCCACGGUAGAGAUAAGAAGAUUAUGGGACACAAACAAUAUAUUUUUGACUCAGGUUAAUCUGAAAGUCAGAUAAACACAUGAAUCCAGCUGUAUCAGAUUGUUUAUAACGAGGUAACAAGAUUAGGGGAAUGCGUAGAAAUAUUUUUGACUCACAGGUUAGUUGUAUAUUGGGUUUACCAUAUCAAUUCCGCGCACACCCAUACAAUAUUCAAUCAAUUCUUGCAGUUGGUGUCGUAGGCAUUUAUGGUUUAGAUUUGGUUGAAUCUGACCUCGCAUGCUUCAUUAACACUACUAUUUAUAGAAGCACAAAAAUCAAGCUAAAGACUAACUUACAAGUGUUAAAAUUGCAUUACAAGUUACCCAUUAAGGAACCACAAUGUAACUUUAGAAUAUUUGUUUCUCUAGCAGGAUAUUUUUCCGUCCACACCAGGGUAAAAAAGCUACAGUAGUCAAUGGUGCUUUCAUUAAUGAACCUUCUGCAAGUUUUGCUUAAACUUAGCAUAUAGAGCUAAAAAGUUUUUGCCUUUUCUCCAAAAGCAAAUAUGAAAUUCCAGGUUAUUUUCAUAGCUCAGUAUCUAUAAUUUUGCCCAACUUUUCUUUAUAAAAGAAAGGCAAAAAUUCCAAACUUUACAUGGAACGCUAUCCCCAUAAGUAAAUAUUACGCGAAACAAACUUCUUGUUACCUAACGUCAUUCUUUCAAAAUAUUCGUUAGUUCCUUUUGAAGGCUGGAGCAGGCAAAGAAAAUGAGAGCAAAAGUAGAACAAAGUUAGAAAGGUACAUACCACGGGCUACGAGGAUUACUCUGUUGGGUACAAGUCAACAAAAGCACAGAAACCUCGACUACCCGAUACCACAGCUCAUCGCUUGCAGGAAUAUUGCGACAACAGGCAUCUAGUAUAGCCUCUUCAUACCAGCUUAAUUCAGCCGAAGCUACAUUGUUUGCUAUGUGUACAAAGCUAGCCAUUCCUUGCUCCUAUCAUGAUUCCAAAGGAUGAUUAAGAAAUAACUGAAAAGACUUCAAUAUUAAAGGCAAGAAAUUUGUAGAAUUCAAUAAAAUAUGCUAGAUUUGCGACCAUAUUUUUGCAAAUAGUAAGUUGAAUUUCAAAAAACAAUAAUAAUAACAAAGAUGCGGAAGAAAAAGAAGAAGAAGAACUCGAUAAGUUUAGUACCUUAACUUCUGGUGACCAGUGAUCCAGAGCUGUCAAAGCACAUGGGAUCACCAACCAGCACAAACUUCCCAACUUAGGGUAACUAACCUGAAAGCAUUUCAACACUGUAAAAUGACAGUAAAUACCUAAUAUUGAAGAUAUUCUUCUAUGCUUCUAUGUAGGAUACUUAACAUGCCAGUCAAUUAUUGACUCAUUGUACGAAAUAAACUAAUGAAAUGUUUUUCCAUUCUUGAAUCUACAAAAACACUUGAUCUCACAUCUUGUCAAUGAACACCAGUAAUUCCAUAUUGGAUAUGUGAACAGAGCUCACUAGGUGUAUAUAUAUAUAUAUAAUAUGUGAGCAGAGCUCACUGAGUAUAUACAUAUAUAUACGUGUAAAUAGAUAUAUAUACAUAUACAUACACAUAUCCAUACAACACACACAUACAUAUACAUAUACAUAUACAUACAACACACACUCAUAUAUAUAUAUAUAUAUAUAUAUAUAUAUAUAUAUAUACAUAUAUAUAUAUAUAUAUAUAACUAUGUAUAAUAUAGUGGUAACAUAUGUAUAUACAUAAUACAUAUGUGUAUACAUAAUAUAUAUAAUAUAUGUAUAUAUAUGUAUAUAUAUAUAGUAGUAUACAUAUAUGUAUACACAUAUGUAUAUAUUAUAUAUUAUGUAUAUAUGUAUAUAUAUAUAUACUCAUAACUCAUAAGAUAUAGUAGCCCUUACUCUAUAUGAGUCCGGCUACUAUACUCUUAUGAGUACGAUUGCCCUCGUACUCAUAAUGUUUUCGAUGAUAGAGUCUUCGAAUCGAUGAAUCCAUACCGUUAAACAUUAUUAGAGCAUUUAAAACUUCUAGAAAUCAAAUUUCAUAAUUUUCGACCUCAUUUACCUUAGCGAUCAAAGGCUCACAAAAUGACAAUUUUAAAACGGCCGGUAUGGGAUACUCGCCUAGUUUAACGGUGUAAAAGAAUUGAAUAGGUGAAUUUUUGAUAAAAAAUUUUAUUCACUACCUAGAUAAAGAUACAAUAACUCCGAUUAAGCUGAAGCACAUCCGAUCAUUCAUUUUUAAGACGUCGUUCGAUUUUGACCGUUCAUUUUUAUGCCCGUUUUGAUUGACUUUAUUAUGAUUCGAAAAUUACAAAAUUUAUAUUUUAGAAGUUUCAAAUACUCUAGAUCAUAUUUAAUUAGGAGUGGAUCGUCGAUUCGGAAGCCCCAUCAUCGAAAACAACUUAUGAGUACGAAGGCCCAAUACUCAUAGCACUCUAUAUAUAUAUAUAUAUAUAGAAUUGAGCUCCUAUGCUUUUAAAAGUCCCAAAUCAUUGGUGGCUUGUAGAUUUUGCGCCUUCGAUUAGAGUGUGCAGUUAGGAUAGAUAGUGGUCCCCUAGGUGGGUGGAUGGUUGGUCAAAUAAUAUGAUCAAACGAGUGGAAUGGUCAAAGGAAUAGAUCUAACGGCGGAAACUUACAAGUACCAAGUACUUGGUGCUUUUACUCUCUCUCUCUCUCUCUCUCCUCUCUCUCUCUCUCUCUCUCUCUUAUAUAGAAAUAAUAUUAUAUAUAUAUAUAUAUAUAUAGUCCGGCUACUAUACUCUUAUGAGUACAAUCGCCCUUGUACUCAUAAGUUGUUUUCGAUGUUAGAGCUUCCGAAUCGACAAUCCACACCAUUAAACAUUAUCUAGAGCAUUUAAAACGUCUAGAAAUCAAAUUUUAUAAUUUUUCAACAUCAUUUACCUUACGAUCAAAAGGUCACAAAAUUGACAAUUUUUAAUGGCCAGUAUUGAAUAUUUGCCAAUUUAACGGUGUAAAAAAAUCGAAAUCGGUUGAAUUUUUUACAGAAAAUUCUAUUCACUACAUAGAUAAAGAUCAAUAACUUCGAUCUUAAAUUGAAGGAUCCGAUCAUCUAUAACGGAGUGGAUCACUACUCUAGAUUCAAAUUUUAUACUCUUAUGAGUUUCAAAUACUCUAGAUCAUAUUUAACAGAGCGGAUUGUCGAUUCGGAAGCUCCAUCAUUGAAAACAACUUAUGAGUAUGAAGGGUUCUAUACUCAUAAGAGUAUAGUAGCCCUAGCCUAUAUAUAUAUAAGUUGAGCUAGAAUACUCUCAAAAGCACCAAGGGUAUGGUGCUUUUGAGUUUUUAGCCUUUGGAUAGAGAGAUGUAGGGUUGGGAUGAUGGUGGUAGGUGGUGGUAGGUAGAAUAGUGUUUGAUCCAACGGCUAUUAGUAAUUAAGAAGUAGAUCCAAGGGCUAGAAACCUAGAAGCACCAAGGGGUUGGUGCUUCUAAAAGUAUUCUAGCUCAAUUCAUAUAUAUAUAUACACACACAGACACAUAUCUAUAGAGAGUCUGGCUACUACGCUAUCAAUAGCAUCACGCGGUUGGUGCUACCAAGUUUUCCGCCGUUAGAUCUACCCCUUUGACGAUUUUCACUUAUUAGAUCAUACUAUUCAACCAACCACCUACUCAACCCUAGGGGACCACUAUCAUUCUAACCGCACAUCCCUUUAUCCAAGGGCUGAAAACCUAAUAGCACCAAUUACUUGUUGCUAUUAACAGUAUAGUAGCCUAGUUCUAUAUAUGUAAUAUACCGAAACCUCGGUAGGUUAUAUCGGACUUUAGUCAAAUUGAUCAAAGUGCGUCGAGAGAAAUAGUUGGACAAAAUCCAUUUGACAUUCCAACAAUGUUGGAAGGGUUAAAGUUGAGUUCCAAGUGAGAUAGAAGGGUUUUAGCAUUGCUCGACGCGAAAAGGAACCGAGCACUGCCAAAACUGCAGUCUGGGCACUGCUUAACCGGUGAAGCAUCAGGGCAGUACCGGUACCAGGCAGGCCACCUGAGAAGCCAGCUCUCGGGUUUGGCCUCUGUCAAGCUGCUUAACCGGUGAACCCGCGUACCGGUACCCCGCAGCAACCCGAGAACAGCAGCUCACGGGUUUGGGCUGUUGAACAGGGGCUUAACCGGUGACACCCACCCGCGUACCGAUACACAAUGCUGCGAACAGCAGGCUGGGUCUGCUGCAAAUAAAAAGAGUUGGAGGGUUUAUUUGUAAUUGUAACAGCCUAUAAAGACCCCACCACCCCCUCCUCUCUUGUUCACAGCAGUGAACACCUCCUCCUCUCUCAUUUUUCUCCCUCUCUCUCUCUAGGAGCUUUUGGAGGAGUUUGAAGGAAAGGCAUUGAAGGAGGAUUUGGUGGAGAAGAAAGCAAAGGAGUGAAGCAACUUCUUCUUCUUCUUCCUUAGCUCAAAAAAAGGAAAGCUCUUAAGGUAAGCUCCAUAAGCUCUCAUGGUAGAUGUCUAGGGCUUGGUUCAAAUGACCUAGAAAUGGUUUUAGUUGAAUCUCUAGUUGAUAUUAAGCUUGUUUUUGCUUUUUUUAGAGAUCAAUAUGGUGUAUGUUGCUAUAUGACAUGUUAGGGCACCAAAAUUGGGGCUUUUGUCAUAGAUGGGUUUAAAUGUAAAUUGACCUUAUAGAAACCUAAUUGAAGGUAUUUUCGACGCGUUGGUGGACUCGAUUCGAGGAUCCGACGAGUCUACGCAUAGGAAUUGAGGAAAAACCCCGUUUCGGCUUCGUUUGCCGCAAUCGGAAGAAAUAAGCGCCCAAAAAUCACGAAAAUUGAACCGUAGCACCUUGGUAAUCAUACGAGGUGGGUGGUGCUUUUCGAAAUCCUCGAAUCUCCUUUUAUGUCUAAAAUGUCAUUUCUUGAGCAUAUGUAUAUAUUGAGCUUCAUGCAUUGUACGGUGAUUGAGAGUUUGUUGUUGCAUGUUGUGAGUACGAAUGCAUAUGAGAUGAUUGUAAACUAAUGAGAACUUGUAAAACCCUAUGUAUGCAUGAAUGAUGAUAAGAAUCUAGAAAAGGCAAAGAAUCUAGUGACAUUGAAAACGAAUGACAUUAUGACAUCAAUAAUAGAGUGGCAUCAAUGAGUUUUGAAUGGUAAUGUACAAGUGUGGCAUUAACAAGAACAACAAAUACAAGAAUAUGAGACACUAGAUGUGUGGCAUGAGUAAGAACAUAGAAUGCAAGAACUUGAGAUAUUUGAUAAUCCUCAUAGUUGAGGCAACCUCAUAGAUAAGGUAUGAUUGAGCAUUGCAUCCUUCUAGUUAAGGAUUGGAUUAAACUUGACAUCCUUAAAGUUAAGGAUUGGAUCAUACUCACCUAUAAGUCUUGGCUUGAGGGUGGUAGCUCCCCCUCAAGCGAUGAGUUUCGGAGUGUCAUCACUGGGUUGGUGUUUUCCCCAGAGGACGGUCCAGUCGGGUUGUAGCGAAUAUCUCCCCGAUAUUAGGGAUUUGAGUUAGGGAGUCUAUUGAGGGCGAAACCUACAGGUUAGCCAAGAGAUUGAGUAAAGGAAUUGUGAUCUUGCAUGCAUCAUGAGCAUUCUAUUUGAGCAUAAUUGUUGAUUAUAUCUUGUUCAGGCAUAUUAGCUGCAUCUGUAUAGUUUGGUUACUAUCUAUCUGUUUAUUCUUCUAUUAUGUCUGAUUUAGACCUAGUGAGAAAGUCGGCGAGGUCGGCGGCUGAACCCACUGGAAACUUUGUUGUAGUUCUCAGACCACUAUUUUUCACAGAGUCGGGACCGAGUGAUCCGGCCGACGAUCGCGGUAAAGGUAUCGCACCAUAGACAGUGACUACCCGAGUCGGUUCAUACUUAUUUAGUUGCAUACCCUAUAUAUCAUCUUUUGUAUUUGAUGAUGUAGUAUUAUGAACAUGAUAAAUAAUGUAAAGAGAGCUUAUGGUUGAAUGUAAAAGGUUAUAUUUUGGGAAUAUGUGAUGUAUAAAAAAAAUGAUGGAAAAGAAUGUAAAAGAAUUCAAACGUUGAAUACAUGUAUGUGGUUAAAAGUUGAUCAUAUUACUUAUAUAUUGUUUAGUUUAGUACUUUUACUUUUGGCUAUUGUUUGCCCUCGUGCAAGCCAUGUAUAUCUUUAAAUUCAUAUAUACAUGAUCUGUACUUGUGUUGAGCCUUGGGCGAACAGGAGAAGUGCUGUCCGUUCGGCGUCUGUUCGACGUGCCCAAACCGACCAAAUGGGCCGGUCCCGAGGCGUGACAAUACAUACAUACAUACAUAUGUAUGUAUGUACAUACAUACAUAUAUGUGUAUAUACAUAUAUGUAUAUACAUAUAUAUAUAUAUAGAGUCCGACUACUAUACUCUUCUGAGUACGAUCGCCCUCGUACUCAUAAGUCGUUUUCGAUGAUAGAGCUUCCGAAUCGACGAUCCAGACCGUUAAACAUUUUGUAGAGCAUUUAAAACUUCUAGAAAUCAAAUUUCAUAAUUUUUCGACAUCAUUUACCUUGCGAUCAAAAGGUCACAAUUGACAAUUUUUAAGGUUGGUAUGAAAUACUUGCUAGUUUAACGGUGCAAAAGAAUCCGAAUAGGUUGAAUUUUUGAUGGAAAAUUCUAUUCACUACCUAGAUAAAGAUCAAUAACUCUGAUCUUAAAUUGAAGGAUCCGAUCAUCCAUUUUUAAGACGUCGUUCGAUUUUGACCGUUCAUUUUAUACCCGCUUGAUGGACAUUAUUAUGAUUUCGAAAAAUUACGAAUCAUCGAAAACAACUUAUGAGUACGAAGGGCCCAAUACUCAUAAGAGUAUAGUAGCCCUACUAUAUAUAUAUAUAUAUAU